GAUGAAAAGCACUUUGGAAAGAGAGUCAAACAGCACGUGAAAUUGUUGAAAGGGAAGCGCUUGCAGCCAGACUUGCUUACAGUUGCUCAUCCGGGUUUUUACCCGGUGCACUCUUCUGUAGGCAGGCCAGCAUCAGUUUGGGCGGUAGGAUAAAGGUCUCUGUCACGUACCUCCUUUCGGGGAGGCCUUAUAGGGGAGACGACAUACUACCAGCCUGGACUGAGGUCCGCGCAUCUGCUAGGAUGCUGGCGUAAUGGCUGUAAGCGGCCCGUCUUGAAACACGGACCAAG
rnacentral:rRNA from 1 species